UACGUAGGGGGCUAGCGUUGUCCGGAAUCAUUGGGCGUAAAGCGCGCGCAGGCGGCCUCCUAAGUCCGAUGUGAAAGCCCACGGCUCAACCGUGGAGGGUCAUUGGAAACUGGGGGACUUGAGUGCAGGAGAGAAGAGUGGAAUUCCACGUGUAGCGGUGAAAUGCGUAGAGAUGUGGAGGAACACCAGUGGCGAAGGCGACUCUUUGGCCUGUAACUGACGCUGAGGCGCGAAAGCGUGGGGAGCAAACCGG
rnacentral:rRNA from 1 species